GAUGAACGCUGGCGGCGUGCCUAAUACAUGCAAGUCGAGCGAACGGACGAGAAGCUUGCUUCUCUGAUGUUAGCGGCGGACGGGUGAGUAACACGUGGAUAACCUACCUAUAAGACUGGGAUAACUUCGGGAAACCGGAGCUAAUACCGGAUAAUAUUUUGAACCGCAUGGUUCAAAAGUGAAAGACAGUCUUGCUGUCACUUAUAGAUGGAUCCGCGCUGCAUUAGCUAGUUGGUAAGGUAACGGCUUACCAAGGCAACGAUGCAUAGCCGACCUGAGAGGGUGAUCGGCCACACUGGAACUGAGACCCGGUCCAGACUCCUACGGGAGGCAGCAGUAGGGAAUCUUCCGCAAUGGGCGAAAGCCUGACGGAGCAACGCCGCGGGAGUGAUGAAGGUCUUCGGAUCGUAAAACUCUGUUAUUAGGGAAGAACAUAUGUGUAAGUAACUGUGAAGAUUUUGACGGUACCUAAUCAGAAAGCCACGGCUAACUACGU
rnacentral:rRNA from 1 species